rnacentral:SRP_RNA from 2 species
GCUGGGUGUGGUGGCGUGCACCUGUAAUCCCAGCUACUUGGGAGGCUGAGGCAGGAGAAUCGCUUGAAUCCGGGAGGCAGAGGUUGCAGUGGGCAGAGAUCAUGCCACUGCACUCCAGCCUGGGCGACAGAGCAAGACUCUGUCUCAA